rnacentral:SRP_RNA from 1 species
UGCCGGUUCCCCCGCGACGAGCAGCCGUGAACUCCGUCAGGCCCGGAAGGGAGCAGCGGUAACGGUGACCUCGGGUGCCGGGGUGCAGCUGGUACGG